rnacentral:rRNA from 1 species
GACAGAGGGUGCAAACGUUGUUCGGAAUUACUGGGCGUAAAGCGCGUGUAGGCGGUCUCGCAAGUCGGAUGUGAAAGCCCAGGGCUCAACCCUGGAAGUGCACUCGAUACUGCGAGGCUAGAGUCCCGGAGAGGAUGGUGGAACUCUCGGUGUAGAGGUGAAAUUCGUAGAUAUCGAGAAGAACACCGGUGGCGAAGGCGGCCAUCUGGACGGUGACUGACGCUGAGGAGCGAAAGCGUGGGGAGCGAACAGG